UACAUGGGGUGCAAACGUUGCUCGGAAUUAUUGGGCGUAAAGCGCACGUAGGCGGUCUGUUAAGUCGGCUGUGAAAGUCAAGGGCUCAACCCUUGAAAGCCGGCCGAUACUGUCGGACUAGAGUCCGGAAGAGGCGAGUGGAAUUCCCGGUGUAGCGGUGAAAUGCGCAGAUAUCGGGAGGAACACCAAUGGCGAAGGCAGCUCGCUGGGACGUGACUGACGCUGAGACGCGAAAGCGUGGGGAGCAAACAGGG
rnacentral:rRNA from 1 species